UACGGGGGGAGCAAGCGUUGUUCGGAUUUACUGGGCGUAAAGGGCGCGUAGGCGGUCAGCACAAGUCAGUUGUGAAAUCUCCGGGCUUAACUCGGAAAGGUCAACUGAUACUGUGCGACUAGAGUGCAGAAGGGGCAACUGGAAUUCUCGGUGUAGCGGUGAAAUGCGUAGAGAUCGGGAGGAACACCGGUGGCGAAGGCGGGUCUCUGGGCAAUUCCUGACGCUGAGGCGCGAAAGCGUGGGGAGCAAACGGG
rnacentral:rRNA from 1 species